CAAUAGCGUAUAUUAAAGUUGUUGCAGUUAAAAAGCUCGUAGUCGGAUUUUGGCUGAGAACGAACGGUCCGCCGUUAGGUGUGCACUGUUUGGUCUCAGCUUCCUGGUGAGGAGGUGUGCUUCACGGCCACUUAGUCACCGUGGUUACUUUGAAAAAAUUAGAGUGUUCAAAGCGGGCUUACGCUUGAAUAUAUUAGCAUGGAAUAACACCAUAGGACUCCUGUCCUAUUUCGUUGGUCUCGGGACGGGAGUAAUGAUUAAGAGGAACAGUUGGGGGCAUUCGUAUUUCAUUGUCAGAGGUGAAAUUCUUGGAUUUAUGAAAGACGAACUUCUGCGAAAGCAUUUGCCAAGGAUGUUUUCAUUGA
rnacentral:rRNA from 1 species